rnacentral:tRNA from 1 species
GGUUGUGGCUUAGUGGUAGAGUGUUCAACUAGCACAUGUGAGGCACUAGGUUCGAUCCUCAGCACCA